rnacentral:tmRNA from 1 species
GGGGAUGUAAUGAGCUUCGACAUGCAUUGGGUUUUAUAACAAUUAGUGGUCUUGCAAACCUAAAGGCAACUAGUGCUUAAUACGUGCAAACGAUAAAAAGUCAGAAGAAGUUCGUCUUGAACUUCCAGCAUUUGCUAUUGCAAAUGCAAACGCAAACCUUGCUUUUGCUUAAGAAUUAGCAGACAAGUGAUUUAUGCAAAGUGUCCAAUUUGCAUAAAUCGGUUUACUGGACUAGUUUUAUCUAAGCGUGUCAAUGGAUAAAAUGAAUUUUAGACACAAUACUAAUUUAAGUUUGUUUGUUUUUCUUAAUUUAGUAUUACUGAAAAUAAACUAAACUAUGAAAAGUUGUUAUAUAAGCUUGGUGUGUGGACUCGGGUUCAACUCCCGACAUCUCCACCA